rnacentral:rRNA from 1 species
GAGUGGCGGACGGGUGAGUAAUGUCUGGGAAACUGCCUGAUGGAGGGGGAUAACUACUGGAAACGGUAGCUAAUACCGCAUAACGUCUUCGGACNAAAGUGGGGGACCUUCGGGCCUCAUGCCAUCAGAUGUGCCCAGAUGGGAUUAGCUAGUAGGUGGGGUAAAGGCUCACCUAGGCGACGAUCCCUAGCUGGUCUGAGAGGAUGACCAGCCACACUGGAACUGAGACACGGUCCAGACUCCUACGGGAGGCAGCAGUGGGGAAUAUUGCACAAUGGGCGCAAGCCUGAUGCAGCCAUGCCGCGUGUAUGAAGAAGGCCUUCGGGUUGUAAAGUACUUUCAGCGAGGAGGAAGGGAUUGUGGUUAAUAACCGCAGUCAUUGACGUUACUCGCAGAAGAAGCACCGGCUAACUCCGUGCCAGCAGCCGCGGUAAUACGGAGGGUGCAAGCGUUAAUCGGAAUUACUGGGCGUAAAGCGCACGCAGGCGGUUUGUUAAGUCAGAUGUGAAAUCCCCGGGCUCAACCUGGGAACUGCAUUUGAAACUGGCAGGCUUGAGUCUCGUAGAGGGGGGUAGAAUUCCAGGUGUAGCGGUGAAAUGCGUA